AUGCCUAGAUCCCGUGUAAAUGGAAAUUUCAUUGAUAAGACCUCCUCAAUUGUAGCCAAUAUUUUAUUGCGAAUAAUUCCGACAACCUCACGAGAAAAAAAGGCAUUUACUUAUUAUAGAGAUGGGAUGUUGGCUCAAUCCGAAGGAAAUUAUGCGGAAGCUUUGCAAAAUUAUUAGGAAGCUACGCGACUAGAAAUCGAUCCCUAUGAUCGAAGUUAUAUACUCUAUAAGAUAGGCCUUAUACACACAAGCAAUGGAGAGCAUACAAAGGCUUUGGAAUAUUAUUUCCGGGCACUAGAACGAAACCCCUUCUUACCGCAAGCUUUUAAUAAUAUGGCCGUGAUCUGUCAUUACGGAGAAUAGGCCAUUCUACAGGGUGAUUCGGAAAUUGCGGAAGCUUGGUUUGAUCAAGCUGCUGAAUAUUGGAAACAAGCUAUAGCGCUUACUCCGGGAAAUUAUAUUGAAGCACAGAACUGGUUGAAGAUUACGAAGCUCUUUGAAUUUGAAUAA
rnacentral:rRNA from 1 species